rnacentral:rRNA from 1 species
UAGGGAAUNUCCGCAAUGGGCGAAAGCCNGACGGAGCAACGCCGCGUGAGUGAUGAAGGUCUUCGGAUCGUAAAACUCUGUUAUUAGGGAAGAACAAAUGUGUAAGUAACUAUGCACGUCUUGACGGUACCUAAUCAGAAAGCCACGGCUAACUACGUGCCAGCAGCCGCAGUAAUACGUAGGUGGCAAGCGUUAUCCGGAAUUAUUGGGCGUAAAGCGCGCGUAGGCGGUUUUUUAAGUCUGAUGUGAAAGCCCACGGCUCAACCGUGGAGGGUCAUUGGAAACUGGAAAACUUGAGUGCAGAAGAGGGAAGUGGAAUUCCAUGUGUAGCGGUGAAAUGCGCAGAGAUAUGGGGGGACACCCCAGGGGGAAGGCGACUUUCUGGUCUGUAACUGACGCUGAUGUGCGAAAGCGUGGGGAUCAAACAGGAUUAGAUACCCUGGUAGUCCACGCCGUAAACGAUGAGUGCUAAGUGUUAGGGGGUUUCCGCCCCUUAGUGCUGCAGCUAACGCAUUAAGCACUCCGCCUGGGGAGUACGACCGCAAGGUUG